rnacentral:rRNA from 1 species
AUUGAACGCUGGCGGCAGGCCUAACACAUGCGAGUCGAACGGAAACAGGAAGCAGCUUGCUGCUUCGCUGACGAGUGGCGGACGGGUGAGUAAUGUCUGGGAAGCUGCCUGAUGGAGGGGGAUAACUACUGAAAACGGUAGAUAAUACCGCAUAAUGUCGCAAGACCAAAGAGGGGGACAUUCGGGCCUCUUGCCAUCGGAUGUGCCCAGAUGGGUUUAGCUUGUGGGUGGGGUAAGGGCUCACCAAGGCGACGAUCCCUAGCUGGUCUGAGAGGAUGACCAGCCACACUGGAAGUUAGACACGGUCCAUACGCCUGCGGUAGGCAGCAGUGUCGAAUAGUGCACAACGGGCGCAAGCCUGAUGCAGCCAUGCCGCGUGUAUGAAGAAGGCCUUCGGGUUGUAAAGUAGUUUCAGCGGGGAGGAAGGGAGUAAAGUUAAUACCUAUGCUCAUUGACGGUACCCGCAGAAGAAGCACCGGCUAACUCCGUG